CCCAGCGGCAGUGUGUGUCCCAGGGAGCUGAAGGUGCCGUCCUUCCUCCCCAGCGGCAGUGUGUACCCCAGGGAGCUGAAGGUGUCGUCCUUCCUCCCCAGCGGCAGUGUGUAUCCCAGGGAGCUGAAGGUACCGUCCUUCCUCCCCAGCGGCAGUGUGUAUCCCAGGGAGCUGAAGGUACCGUCCUUCCUCCCCAGCGGCAGUGUGUACCCCAGGGAGCAGAAGGUGCCGUCCUUCCUCCCCAGCGGCAGUGUGUGUCCCAGGGAGCAGAAGGUGCCGUCCUUCCUCCCCAGCG